GGGGAUAUAUUUCAGUGGUAGAAGCUUGGAUUCCAAACCCAAGAACGUGUGUUCGAUUCAUACUAUUCCCA
rnacentral:tRNA from 1 species